UCUUCAUAAUAUUGCAGCGAGAAAUGUACCAAAGUUUCGGAAUGAUUUUCGUGAGCUAGUAGAAGAAAUGAAAAGCAUUAAAGAUUCAACUGUUACUGCAUUUGUUGACGAAGAGAGUAUGUUAAAGGCUAUAUACUUUCAGACACCUGAAAUGAAAAAUAUAUAUUUGCUUCUUAUCCUGAACUCCUCUUGAUUGAUGCUACGUACAAACUAAACGAUCUGCAUAAUUAUGCCUUUGUACGUUUUAAUGGUAGUCGAUGGGAAUGGUGAGAGUGAGACUGUAUGUCUGUGGCUGACACAAUUUGAAGAUAAAGAAACUAUUACAAAACUUGUUGAAGAAUUCAAGAAGUAUAAUUCAGAUUGGAUUUCAACGAAAUGUAUUAUGUCCGACAAAGAUAUGACUGAGAGAACUGUUUUAGGCGAACAAUUUCCACAGUCCAAGCUUUUGAUUUGCUUAUUUCAUACUCUGCGCACUAUGAAAAGAGAGGUAUUCUGCGAAAAGCUUGGCAUAUCACAGGGAGAAAGGAGUAUGUGCUUGGAAAUAUUGUUGAAAAUGGUGUAUGCAAGAGACGAAGAAGAGUAUAGUAAGCUCUUUGAUAGUUAAAGAAUGGACCACAACGACUUGUGGAGUACUUUGAAAAUAAUUGGCAUAGCAUUCGCCAUGAAUGGGUGGACGGUUUGAAAAAUGCAACUUGCAACUUUAUGAAUCGCACCAAUAAUAGAGUUGAAAGCAUCAAUCAGAAAUUAAAGUCUGUAAUUUCUCGGUAUUCAGGAGUUACUCAGUUUUUCCAAGAUUUGAUGAAGUGUUUGAACACUCUGAGAAUUGAGCGUGAUCAUAGAGCACUUGAAAUAGUAAUGAAAAGACGUGUAUCAUUACAUGACUCUGAUACAUCAUUUGGACGGUAUAUGUCUUUUUUGACACCAUACUCCUUUGAAUUUGUAAAAGACCAACUAGAAAACGUCAGUAAAGUACAGAUUAUUCAACAAAUUGAUGAAAAAUCGUGUGUAUUGCGAUCUCAAGGCCGAUCUAUAACAACUACUAUUGACUCUUGUCCCUGCGGCUUUGUUUCUGCUAUGAAACUGCCAUGCAAGCAUAUCUUUGCAGUGCGCACAUCCCAGUCUCUAUCUGAGUAUGAGGAAUCUCUGUGCUGAAAGGUGGACGCAAAAACAUUUUACGAGUCAUCAUCGGGCAUAUGUACCAACUGAUAUGAGUGAUUGUGAUGUGGAAAGUCAUAUUGAUGAUACGAUUCAAAUCUCUACAUUAGAACCGGCAAGAGCAGUGCUCUCUGAGCAGCAAAAAUACAGAAAAUCUUUCAAUAUAGGCCAACGCUUAUGCCAGCAGCUCUCUACUUUUGGUAUGCACGACUUCAAUGAAGGAAUAGAAGUCCUGCAAUCAAUAGCGCAUCUCUGGGAAAAAGGCAAAAAGGUUGUCGUUGGAGAAGCAGCAGACACUGGUGAGGAUGUAUCAAGCGACAGUGACAAUUCUGUUUCUGAUCAUAUUAAAAUCCCACCUCCCAUCCUGACAGAUAAGACACAGUUGAUCUGUUACAGAAAGCACCUGAUUCUCGACAGCCAUUGUCUACCAUUCAAGAUAAUACUUUUGCGAUAAAAAUGCCGCCUGCAAUCAAGAAACGAGGUCGACCAAAAGGUGCUGGAAUAACAGUGAUUGGCCUUCCUAAAAAGAAGGGAAAAGCUUCUUCCAAACCGAAGGCAUUUGUACUAAAAUCAGAAUGGGAGAAGACAAAAGUUAUGCUCAACUGGUUUGUCGAUGAAGAAGUCACUGAACGGGCAGUGAGAGGUGGGGACCUUAUUGAAGAACACGAAAUGGAAUGUUGCCCCGAGAAAAUACCCAGAAAAUGCUUGGAUGACAAUGUUUGCAUUGCUCAAAUCAAAAAAUUCUUCACUUUUGACGGCUGGAGUUUACUUCAAAAUAGCAUAGAUACUUUGCUUGUUCAUGGGAAUUGGACUUGCUCAAUAUGCUGCAUUGAUUUAU